UUUUUUAAAUAACAAGGACAUUCAUUGGCAUUUUUUUACUAGAAAAUUUCAGACUUUAUUUUUAUGAAUGAUGUCUUUAUAAAUCAGUUAAAAUGACUAUAAUUAAAAGUGUAUCUUAAUAAUGAUGUUGUUAUUUCACUUGGCGGUUGAAUUGUAAGUGAUUUCAGACUAUUCAACUUUGCAGAAGUAAGGAUCUUAUUCCGUCAGAAGUGCCAACUUUAAGAGAUAUUUUGAGAAAAGGUCUGCUUAUCCAAGAAGCUCUACUUCGAGAAGAUGUUAACAGAAGGAAUAUUUGAUUGAGAGACUUUUCUCGACUACUAGCUGAUAUCGUUUUUCAGCAGUAGAUGAAAGCAAAUGCUCUUUUUAAACCUCCAGUGGUUAUUGGAAAGAACUUUGAUGGAAAAAAUUGAGUUUUCCUGGAACAAGAUCAAAGAUAUAGCACAUGGGAAAGCUUCUCAGACACACGUGUCUUUUUGGGAAUCAAAACUGGAUGAAUUUCUAGAUAUAACAUGUGCAAGUGUGAAAUUAUGUUAUGUAACGAGUUGUGUUUGAAAACUUAUUCUUGCGUCAAACAAGUACAUAUUAAAUGAACUUGUGUAAAAGAGAAAAAAAUUCCAAAGGUUGAACUUCUAUGGCUUAAUGCCCAAAGGAAAAAAAGAGAAUCUAUUUCAAAAUACCAGAUGGGUUUCAAUGAUAUUAAAGAGACCGCGAAACAGUUUUCGCGAGAGGAGAAAAAAAUGAAGAGAAAGUCUAGAGUAGAGAAAAAAUUAGAAAUGGAAAAAAAAAUUUAAGGUAGAAAAUGACAACGUUGUUGAAUGUUUAAUUGAGGAUUAUUCAGAUUUAAAAAAGGAAAAGAUUUCAGAAGAUCCGCUUCAAAACAAGAUUUGGAAAAAAAUGUCAAUAAGUCAUAUUGCAGAAGCUUCAAUAAGAUAUGAUAUUUCACCAGUAGCAACAUCAGCUAUUAUUACAUCCUUUCUUCUAGACCUUAUUGAAGCAAAGUAUUUGAUGCUUGAUAUGUCUUAUUUACCUGUUGAUCCUAUGAAAGUAAGAAAUAAUGGAGAGAGUAAUAAUGUAUGAAGAAAAGUUA